UGCUGCUGCUGCGGGUGCACACAUAUCAGAUCACUGCACCAAGAGCAAAGAGAUCUUGUUAUCAGAGUUGACUUAUUCGAUUCACUCCUAGAAAAGGAAUGUGUUCUACUUUACCUCAGCAUCAUCUCCACCUGCAGCAGCUUUGGAAGAACCAUUCGUCUUAUGGGCAUCGUCUGCUGCAUAUAAAGGCAAAAUAAACAUUUGAAAUCCACAGCAAAAUAUGUAUCAUUAUGAGAUAGGGAAUCGUCUACUGGAUGCUGUUUCAACUUUCAACUAUCCAUUAUCAAGUAUUCCAUGGAUAUGCUUAAAAUGUCUUAUAUAUUCAAUGGUUUCCAAGCGAAACAACACAAAUGAAGUAAUAAUGAACACCAAAAAGGACUUUUGUAAGACAUCAAACAUCAUAGUUUAAGAGUUUGCUUAGGUCCAGAGUGAUCAUCACCUCCUCCUUCUGGGAUGUCAGAAGUCCACAAGGUCAGAUUGUCCCUGAGGAGUUGCAUAAUUAAGGUGCUGUCUUUGUAGGAUUCCUCAUUCAGAGUGUCAAGUUCUGAGAUAGCUUCAUCGAACGCCUGCUUAGCAAGGUGACAUGCCCUGAAGAGAAAAGAAAAGAAAAAGAAAAAUCUCAACUCUCCAAAACAAUGAAUCUUUUCUUUUCUUAGUAUAGCUAACAAUCUCUAAACCUUUCAGGUGCGUUCAUGAUCUCAUAGUAGAAGACAGAGUAAUUCAAAGCCAAACCCAAUCUGAUAGGAUGUGUAGGAGGGAGUUUAGCCUCAGCAGCAGUAGUAGCAAUCUGUAAAGGAAACCAACAAACAAACAAAAAGCUCAAAAGUAAAGUAACGAAAAACCAACCGAGAAUAUCCAGUGAUCAAUAACACUAUAUAUCACUAGUAGAACACCUCAUAGGCUUUCAAAGACUGAUCAGCAGCCUCUUUCCUCUCAUUCCCUGAUUUGAACUCCGCAAGAUAGCGGUAAUAGUCACCUUUCCUGCAAAAAACCAAAAAAAUCUUCAGCCACAUACAUAACUUAAAAUCUUGAGUUUAACAUCAUGUAUAGAAGCAUUAUAAACUUACAUCUUGUUGAAGAAGACAGUUGAUUCACCCUCGGAAGCCGAUGGAAUUAGAUGCUCAUCUAACACAGACAUUAUAUCAAUGCAUAUGUUUGAAAGCUCUAACUCAACCUUCUCCAUAUACUCUUUGAUCCUCUUUACAUUAACAUCAUUCCCUUUCACUGCUUCUUUCUGUUCGAUCGACGAGAAGAUCCUCCACGAAGCUCUCCGUGAACCAAUCACGUUCUUGUAUCCCACAGAGAGCAAGUUCCUCUCUUCCACCGUCAGAUCAACAUUCAAUUUCGCAACAUUUUUCAUUGAUUCCACCAUUUCUGUGAAAAAGAAAUCACAUUUCCAAUACCCAUCUUGUAAAAAUCGAGACCCUUGAAUCUAAUUCCUUGCUCAGAAGUUCCCAAUUCAAAAAAUCUCAAUCAAAUCAUUGACUUACAAAGAUCAAACCAAACCCUUCGAUGAAAUCAAAAUCCAGUAAAAUCAAACAGAGAAACGAACUAAAGAAGCUAUAAAAAAAGACCUGAUUGUGAGAAAUUCAGAGAACCCAUUCGAGAGAAGAAGAAGAAGAAGAAGAUUCCUUA
rnacentral:lncRNA from 1 species